rnacentral:rRNA from 1 species
CCAUGCAGUCGAGCGGUAGCACAGAGAGCUUGCUCUCGGGUGACGAGCGGCGGACGGGUGAGUAAUGUCUGGGAAACUGCCUGAUGGAGGGGGAUAACUACUGGAAACGGUAGCUAAUACCGCAUAAUGUCGCAAGACCAAAGUGGGGGACCUUCGGGCCUCAUGCCAUCAGAUGUGCCCAGAUGGGAUUAGCUAGUAGGUGGGGUAACGGCUCACCUAGGCGACGAUCCCUAGCUGGUCUGAGAGGAUGACCAGCCACACUGGAACUGAGACACGGUCCAGACUCCUACGGGAGGCAGCAGUGGGGAAUAUUGCACAAUGGGCGCAAGCCUGAUGCAGCCAUGCCGCGUGUGUGAAGAAGGCCUUCGGGUUGUAAAGCACUUUCAGCGGGGAGGAAGGCGAUAAGGUUAAUAACCUUGUCGAUUGACGUUACCCGCAGAAGAAGCACCGGCUAACUCCGUGCCAGCAGCCGCGGUAAU